GAUGAACGCUGGCGGCGUGCCUAAUACAUGCAAGUCGAGCGAACAGAUAAGGAGCUUGCUCCUUUGACGUUAGCGGCGGACGGGUGAGUAACACGUGGGUAACCUACCUAUAAGACUGGGAUAACUUCGGGAAACCGGAGCUAAUACCGGAUAACAUUUGGAACCGCAUGGUUCUAAAGUGAAAGAUGGUUUUGCUAUCACUUAUAGAUGGACCCGCGCCGUAUUAGCUAGUUGGUAAGGUAACGGCUUACCAAGGCAACGAUACGUAGCCGACCUGAAAGGGGGAUCGGCCCACCAGAAAUGAAAACACGGCCCAGACUCCUACGGGAGGCACCAGAAGGGAAUCUACCGCAAUGGGCGAAAGCCUAGAGGGGCAACGCCGCGGGAGUGAUGAAGGGUUGCGGCUCGUAAAACCCUUUUUUUAGGAAAGAAAAAACGUGUAAAUAACUGGGCAAGUCUGAGCGGUACCAAAUCAGAAAGCCCCGGCAAACUCCGG
rnacentral:rRNA from 1 species